rnacentral:rRNA from 1 species
GGCGAGACAGGUGCUGCAUGGCUGCGUUCAGCUCGUGUCGUGAGAUGUUGGGUUAAGUCCCGCAACGAGCGCAACCCUCAUCCUUAGUUGCCAUCAUUGAGUUGGGCACUCUAAGGAAACUGCCCCGGUUAACGGGGAGGAAGGUGGGAUGACGUCAAGUCCUCAUGGCCUUUAUGUCUAGGGCUACACACGUGCUACAAUGGGUGGUACAAAGAGAAGCCAACUCGCGAGAGCGCGCCAAUCUCAAAAAGCCAUCCUCAGUUCGGAUUGGAGUCUGCAACUCGACUCCAUGAAGUUGGAAUCGCUAGUAGUCGCGGAUCAGCAUGCCGCGGUGAAUACGUUCCCGGGCCUU